UACGGGGGGCGCGAGCGUUGUUCGGAAUCACUGGGCGUAAAGCGCGUGUAGGCGGCCGAGCAAGUCGGAUGUGAAAUCCCGAGGCUCAACCUCGGAACUGCAUUCGAAACUGCUCGGCUCGAGUCCCGGAGAGGAAGGCGGAAUUCCCGGUGUAGGGGUGAAAUCCGUAGAUAUCGGGAGGAACACCAGUGGCGAAGGCGGCCAUCUGGACGGUGACUGACGCUGAGACGCGAAAGCGUGGGGAGCAAACAGG
rnacentral:rRNA from 1 species